rnacentral:rRNA from 1 species
ACUCAAAUGAAUAGACGGGGGCCCGCACAAGCGGUGGAACAUGUGGUUUAAUUCGAUGCUACGCGAAGAACCUCACCAGGGUUUGACAUACUGGAAGUAGAGAACUGAAAGGGGAUCGACCUGUCAAGUCAGGAGCCAGUACAGGUGCUGCAUGGCUGUCGUCAGCUCGUGUCGUGAGAUGUUGGGUUAAGUCCCGCAACGAGCGCAACCAUUUUCCCUUGUUGCCACCUUAUCUGGUCGUAAGGCCGGGUAAGAGCACUCUAGGGGGACUGCCUGGGAUAACCAGGAGGAAGGUGGAGAUGACGUCAAGUCAGUACGGCCUUUAUGCCCUGGGCUACACACGUGUUACAAUGGGUAGUAACAAAGGGUUGCCAACCCGCGAGGGGGAGCUAAUCUCAGAAAACUGCCCUCAGUUCAGAUCGCAGUCUGCAAUUCGACUGCGUGAAGCCGGAAUCGCUAGUAAUGGCAGAUCAGAACGCUGCCGUGAAUACGUUCCCGGGCCUUGUACACACCGCCCGU